CGCAGGCGCUGCUCAUCCAAAUGAGACCGUAGGAGGAGUUCUGCUUGGGGAAUUCGAUUCUUCUUCAUUUUACACUGGAGGAUUCCUGAGGCUGAGAUUGAAGAUUUUCCACAGUCUGGUCCAAACCUGCCAGGAGUCACUGUUGUUGACUGUCUA
rnacentral:lncRNA from 1 species